rnacentral:rRNA from 1 species
UGGCGGACGGGUGAGUAAUGUCUAGGAAACUGCCUGAUGGAGGGGGAUAACUACUGGAAACGGUAGCUAAUACCGCAUAACGUCGCAAGACCAAAGAGGGGGACCUUCGGGCCUCUUGCCAUCGGAUGUGCCCAGAUGGGAUUAGCUAGUAGGUGGGGUAACGGCUCACCUAGGCGACGAUCCCUAGCUGGUCUGAGAGGAUGACCAGCCACACUGGAACUGAGACACGGUCCAG